rnacentral:rRNA from 1 species
AUUGAACGCUGGCGGCAUGCUUUACACAUGCAAGUCGAACGGUAACAGGCCGCAAGGUGCUGACGAGUGGCGAACGGGUGAGUAAUGCAUCGGAACGUGCCCAGUCGUGGGGGAUAACGCAGCGAAAGCUGUGCUAAUACCGCAUACGAUCUGUGGAUGAAAGCGGGGGACCGAAAGGCCUCGCGCGAUUGGAGCGGCCGAUGUCAGAUUAGGUAGUUGGUGGGGUAAAGGCUCACCAAGCCAACGAUCUGUAGCUGGUCUGAGAGGACGACCAGCCACACGGGGACUGAGACACGGCCCAGACUCCUACGGGAGGCAGCAGUGGGGAAUUUUGGACAAUGGGCGCAAGCCUGAUCCAGCAAUGCCGCGUGCAGGAAGAAGGCCUUCGGGUUGUAAACUGCUUUUGUACGGAGCGAAAAGGCUCUCUCUAAUACAGGGGGCUCAUGACGGUACCGUAAGAAUAAGCACCGGCUAACUACGUGCCAGCAGCCGCCGUAAGAC